GGCUGGUCUGUAGGUAGUGAGUUAUCUUAAUUGUUCACAGUCAGUUAUACAUCAGUCUCUUUGUUCGGUUCUUUCCUCCCUUCUCACUACUGUACUUGACUAGUCUUAA
rnacentral:Y_RNA from 1 species